GAGGAAAGGGACCAUUAGCUGCCUCUCUCACCUCAUUACAGCCUCUAAGUCAGCCUGCCUCUGGGGUCCAGAGCAGCUUCGACCUGGUCUUCCACCCAUACAACUGACCACCUCCUGUGGCAAGGCACCGACCUCAGCACUGAAAUACCGAAACGGGAACUUAGCUCCCCAACUAGGGAUUGAACCCGUGCCGCCUGCAGUGGAAGCGUGGAGUCCUAAUCACCGGACCACCAGGUGCUUCCAAGCUCCAUGUGUUCUGCUAGGAGACCUUGGCAUCUGGAACCCCCCAGCUUGACGUCAGCCUUCACUUACCCAAACACUUCCAGC